UGAGGAAUAUUGGUCAAUGGGCGAGAGCCUGAACCAGCCAAGUAGCGUGCAGGAUGACGGCCCUAUGGGUUGUAAACUGCUUUUGCGCGGGGAUAAAGUGCGCCACGCGUGGCGCAGUGAGAGUACCCGGAGAAUAAGCAUCGGCUAACUCCGUGCCAGCAGCCGCGGUAAUACGGAGGAUGCGAGCGUUAUCCGGAUUUAUUGGGUUUAAAGGGUGCGCAGGCGGCGCGAAAAGUCAGCGGUCAAAGUUCCGGGCUCAACCCGGUGACGCCGUUGAAACUUUCGUGCUGGAGUUCGUGCGAGGGAGGCGGAAUGCGUUGUGUAGCGGUGAAAUGCAUAGAUAUGACG
rnacentral:rRNA from 1 species